UAGGGUAUCUAAUCCUAGUUUAUUACAAAAAGUUUAUAGCUUAAAUUAUUUUCUAAAAUAAUAAAUUAAUAAAUUUAAAAAUUUCACCUAAUAAAUUUAUAUUUAUAUUAUAAAAAUUUAUAAUUUAACUAAUACUAAAAAUUUUUACUUGCAUUAUUUGUAUAACCGCGGUAGCUGGCACAAAUUUUACCAAUACUAUAUAUUAUUACUAAUACAAAAUUUCUUUUUUAAUUAAUAUCAAUUACUGCGAAUAAAUUAAUUAUUAUAAUUUUUUAAAAAUUAAAACAAUUCACACAAAAAUUUACAUGUAAAAUAAAAUAAUAAUAAAAAUAUUAACCAAAAU
rnacentral:rRNA from 1 species